rnacentral:lncRNA from 1 species
GUUCUAAAUGUGUGGAAAAUGGGCUGGUCACAAUAGAUAUGUUCUCUCUCACUUUACAGAUAUAUUCCAACAAAAUGGCAGCAUGGAGGACCCAAAGGAUUCCUGUGGCUGGGAAAGAUCAAAGAAGCAGUUCCUGUCAUUCACGCCAACAGAUUUGACUAUAACCUCCAUCGACUUCCAUGCAGGAUGCGGUAUAUGA